rnacentral:tRNA from 1 species
AUUUAGGAUCUGGCGCUUAACGGCGUGGGGGUUCAAGUCCCUUAACCCGCA